rnacentral:rRNA from 1 species
UGCGGUAAUUCCAGCUCCAAUAGCGUAUAUUAAAGUUGUUGUGGUUAAAAAGCUCGUAGUUGAACCUUGGGCCUGGCUGGCCGGUCCGCCUCACCGCGUGCACUGGUCCGGCCGGGCCUUUCCCUCUGUGGAACCCCAUACCCUUCACUGGGCGUGGCGGGGAAACAGGACAUUUACUUUGAAAAAAUUAGAGUGCUCCAGGCAGGCCUAUGCUCGAAUACAUUAGCAUGGAAUAAUAAAAUAGGACGCGCGGUUCUAUUUUGUUGGUUUAUAGGACCGCCGUAAUGAUUAAUAGGGACAGUCGGGGGCAUCAGUAUUCAAAUGUCAGAGG